AACAGGAAGACAACACCCUAAACUCUUGCCACUGUUCAGUCGGUUAGUCUGUGUAUCAACAUGGCAGAGGCAACUUUAGAAGAUAAGGAUUUGAUUACCUGUUCAAUCUGUCUGGACCUACUGAAGGAUCCAGUGACUACUGCCUGUGGACACAGUUACUGUAUGGGCUGUAUUAAUGACUGCUGGAAUCAGGAUGAUCUGAAAGGUAACUACAGCUGUCCCUUGUGCAUGGAAAGAUUCACCCCAAAACCUGUCCUGAAGAAAAACAUAUUACUGGCUGAAUUAGUGGAGAAACAGAAGAAGACAGGACUCAGAUCUACUCCUCCUGCUCUCUGUUAUACUGUACCUGGAGAUGUGGAGUGUGACUUAUGCACUGGGAGAAAACUCAAAGCAGUCAAGUCCUGUCUGGUGUGUCUUGCCUCUUACUGUAAGACUCACCUCCAGCCUCACUAUGAUUCCCCUGCCUUUAAGAAGCACAAAAAGAAGCUUGUCGAAGCCUCCACACAACUGCAGGAGAAGAUCUUCCCUCAUCAUGACAAUCUGCUGGAUGAUUACUGCUGUACUCAUCAACAGUGUAUCUUUCUGCUGUUUGUGAUGGAUGAACAUAGAGGCCAUGAUACAGUUUCAGCAGAAAGGAGAAAGAAACAGAUUCAGAGGAGACCCGGACAUCGCUAUGCAACCCAGGUCAUGAGGCCACAACAUUUUCAGUUCAUGCAACUGACCAUGAAGCCCACCUUCCAGGCUGCAGCACCUUGCAUGUUUUCCACUCAGCACACGGCCGGUCAGAACAUGGGCCUCUGCUUAUUUAUUAGUAUUAUUUUGUUUGUUUGGUUGUUUUUACUGUGAAGAGUUGAAAUAGUAGAAUACAUAAGGCACCAUUUUGAAAUGUCGUAGUGUGCAGCAGUUUUCCUCGUUAUGUCAGUCACUGUCAGACCUACGCAAGCUAUUUACUAGGCCUACCUGUCAGAAAUGUCCAGUUGAUCAAUUUAGUGACAGAGGCAGGACAAGCAGGGCCCGUGUGCAGAAUAUUUAUCACAGUGGGGGCACAACCAAAUCUCGCCAGGGGCCCCCAAGAAGCAGGCCAGUGGAACAGAAGCAAAUGCUGGGCGAGCGCCUCUUCCCGCGCAACCAGAAUAUGCCCGCCAGCCUGACUGGAAAGAUGGACAUGUUGCAGGAGAGUCUCUCCUCGUCCAGUUGGAUGAAGCCAUGGCAGUGCUGCAGGUUUACCAGAGAUUAUGAACUACUCAUCUGGUGUUCCAAAUGUCUAAUAAGCCACUGAAUUGGGAACCUUGAAUCUCACUUGACUAAGGAAAAGUUGGUCAUUUGGUCAUUUGUCAGCAAAAGGCAGUAGGAUGACGUGUACCAUUGCACAGACCACAGACCCUCUAUCCAGAUCAUCUGUGAGUAUACUGAGACCUAUUUAGUGAUCAAGAAAUUGUGAGCUUUUGCUGGUGGGCCUUUUCUAUAUCCAGGGCAAGUUAAGGGUUGCGGUCGAAGUAUGGUUUAAGACUGAAUGUUAAAUAGUUUGGACUGUUGUUCUCUCUUCUCUCUCCCUCCCUCUCCCCACCCCCCUCACGUAAACUAUUAAAAUGUAAUAUUAUUUUAACAAACUCUACCAUUUUAUUCAUUGUAUAUGACAUGUCAUUGUGUAAAAUAAAUACAUGAAGUAUUCUAUGAAUCAUGUAAA